AUUCAGGAAUCUCCGGGGACCCAGAGCAGGACAAAUAAAACCACAUCUCUCUACCCCACACCAAAACGGCCAACUAAAGAUACAGGGCACCCCUCAAGCCAGCCAGAAAUAAAAGAUGGUUUGCCUUCAGGGGAGCAACCCCUGGAGCAUGAACUGACCUCUCAGCAGAAACGAUGGAAGCCAGGAGAAAGUGAACACUCGUUCCUUAACGAGCAGGAAGAAGGAAAUGCCAGCCUGGACUCCUCCAUCAAGGAUGUCUUUCCAAUUUCGGGCCGAAGUCUGUAUAGCAGCCUGGAUCCUGGAGGGUUCGACAGGAUGUGUGACGUGAAGGACCUACAAACCCCGUUCACACCUCUGCACCUGUGCCCGUGCUGUGCUCUCAACCUGGGAUGCUGUCGUCUGCAAUCAAAAUAUUCUCAACAUGAACAAAAUGUCAAGGAUGGAAAGAAAGAAAUGCUUACUGCUUUGUGAGUGAGUGAGAGCUGCUGCAGGGAAGGCUCUGUUCCCGGGACCCGAGCUCCAGAACAACAGACGGUGCCUGACUCUCUCUGGCCGUGGGCCCAUCUCUCUUCCCACUGACCCAGCUGCCUCUGUGGUGGCCCAGACUCUAGGUGAAAACCUCUGGCUUUACACUCAGAGGGACAUGGGAUCCAGUCCCAGCCCUGCCCUGCCCCUUGCUAGCCAUAGGGCCCUAGGCAGGUCCCUCUUGGGGCCUCAGUUUAUUCCUCUAUGAAAUGGGGUGAGGAUGUUUGUUAUACAGGCUAAAGGAGGUGACCCAGGGGAAGAGCUGGCCCGCAGGUGGCCCACAGGACUCACUUCAGAAAUGGCCGUGGCUGUGAUUUUAGGGCUGAUGUUCAAGGGUGGAGCUGGACUCCGAUAUCUGUGUUGGGAUGGGAACUGUUUUACAAAUUGUGAUAGUGGGAUUCUUGAAUUGGACGCUGGGCUGUGAGUGAUAGUGAGCCAUCGACUAUGAAUUUCAGGCUCCUCAGCCUUCCCAGAUUCGGGGGACGAUCUGUUCCC
rnacentral:lncRNA from 1 species